GAUGAACGCUGGCGGCGUGCCUAAUACAUGCAAGUCGAGCGAACGGACGAGAAGCUUGCUUCUCUGAUGUUAGCGGCGGACGGGUGAGUAACACGUGGAUAACCUACCUAUAAGACUGGGAUAACUUAGGGAAACCGUAGCUAAUACCGGAUCAUAUUUUGAACCGCAUGGUUCAAAAGUGAAAGACGGUCUUGCUGUCACUUAUAGAUGGAUCCGCGCUGCAUUAGCUAGUUGGUAAGGUAACGGCUUCCCAAGGCAGCGAUGCAUAGCCGACCUGAGAGGGUGAUCGGCCACACUGGAACUGAGACACGGUCCAGACUCCUACGGGAGGCAGCAGUAGGGAAUCUUCCGCAAUGGGCGAAAGCCUGACGGAGCAACGCCGCGUGAGUGAUGAAGGUCUUCGGAUCGUAAAACUCUGUUAUUAGGGAAGAACAUAUGUGUAAGUAACUGUGCACAUCUUGACGGUACCUAAUCAGAAAGCCACGGCUAACUACGUG
rnacentral:rRNA from 1 species